rnacentral:lncRNA from 1 species
GGAACUAUGUAGGAACUAUAUUUUGUUACUCUUCUCCAGGCUAACUGAAAUGCCCAAAGAACAAUAAUAUAGUGGCUACCCAUACUGAUGGUCCUGAAGUAAGUGGCUUCUUUUUGUAAGGUGUUUUAUGGAUGUUUUUGUAAAGUUACUAUGGUAUUUUUCAAUUUUAGGCUUAUCAAUACUUUUUAAUAGGUACGAGAUCCAAACCUAACAAGCAUGUUGUCUAAGAUGACGUUGCUUCACGUUCAGAUCUGGUUGUGUACUCUCUCUAAGAUCUUUUUGAUUGGUCUAUUUUCAGGUAAUCUUUAUUAUGUUCAUCACUCAUCUUACAUCUUUGGUGGAUUUUAUAACUUUCUUGCUUAUGGAAUGUGCUCUAAUAUUUGUUUCCAUUGCCUGUCAACUGGCACCAGCAAUACGAUUGACAUCUUAAGCUAUAGAUCAACCUUUUAAGUAGACGUUAGAUGCCCUUACUAGUAUUAUGUGGAAAUCAGGACAAUGCAGAAUUUGCUGUAGAUCUUUGCCUUAUGUAACCUUUUGUACUCCCUGGAGAUUUGAAGUUCUCUCUAUUUUAGUUGUCGAAUUCUCAUAAUAUUUUGUAUAUUUUAGAGUUAGUUACUUGUGUUUCCCAUUUUGUGUCAGACUUUAUCUGAUAAGAUACAUGUUUGGAUUUGUGAGGUUCAUAAAAGCUACUUGUGCUGGUACUAUUGAGAAUCAUAUUAUGAACUUUGGUUCUUUGUUAUGAUAUUGCAUCCCCUAAGAUGCUGUCUGGAACGUAAUAUCAUAAUUUACUGGGUGCUAAAGUGAUAAUUUUCUAGUAUGAAAGGACAAACAACUAGCCUUGUGAAUCAGUUAAGACCACAUAUCAUCAUUGGCAGUAAAAGGACCCAAGUCUAAAGGAUUAGGUGUAUCUAUAAUAAAGAUAAUCCUUCCUUUCGACCACUAGGAUUAUCCUUCCUUUCGACCACAUGCUAAUCUUCCAGGGCUAUGAAGAUACUGUUGAAGAUGUUCAUUUUUUCCCUUCAAGGUGAUAUUGACUUGAACUAGAUCCUGUGAGAGGUUGUUUGGGUGGAGUGAGCCUUAUAAAUUAGGUUGUCAAGUUAUCAGAGUCCUGUUGGUAAAUUCUUCUUAUUUUCCUUUCGUUAUUCUUUGGUACUCAUCCACUUCAACCGAGUUAUCAUCCGUUAAAGAAAUAUUAAGCUAUUAUCCUUGUGUAACACCCCAACCAUUUCAAUGCUUAAUAAGUACAUUAAAUGAGUCAUUAAUUUCUCAAUAUCAAAGAUAAAGCACCUAAGAUUGGGUUUGAAUGGGUUAGGGACAUUUUUAUGCUUAGAAAAGACCUUCGUGUUGCCAAAUGGGCAACCCGUGGCAGCCGCACGCCACGAAGACCCCGCGAUAGGUUACUGCCUCGGGUUUUUGCCGGGGGUCAUGCCACAAACCCUUUCAUUUGUGAUGGGGUCGCCCCAUGAACCUUCAGGUUUGCAAUGGGGGUCGCCCCAUAAACCUUCCCGUCGAGCAAUGAACUUCCUCCAUUUUUCAUCAAUCAUCUUCAUUUUUUUUUAUAUUUUAAGGGCAUGAGAGUCUUUUCACACUUGUAAGUUAUUCCCAAUCCCAUAUGUAUGUGUAUAGGGUCUUAAAAAAGGCUUCAUAUUUCAAAAAGCCCUCUAAUCAUAAUUCAAACAACAAAGGAGGAGAAAACCACUUAGGGUUUGAGAAUUUCAAGAUCCAAGGGUAAACUUUGAAGCAAUUUCUCUCUAUUAGAAGUACGUAGAAUGACCUAAAUUUUAAGUGUAGAAACUUUGAGGUUUUUAUUCAUAACAAGUGCAUAAAUUUCAAGAUUUGCAUCCAACCUCAAUUGUGCUUAUGUAUAUAUGUAUAUAUGUAUAUAUGUGUGUGCUUGUUAAAUUGUGAUUUAUGAAAAGGAUGAGGUUGUAAAUGAUUUCCUUGCUCAGUAUUGCAUGAGGAAGGUUUUAAUGAUUAUUAUAUAUUGUGAUGUUUAUCUUAUUUUUUAUGGUAGUUAGUCGAAUAUGACUGAAAAGAGAAUUCCUUUUUCCUAAAAGCUUUAAAAAAAAUUCAUGAAUGUGAGAUGCUUGUCUAAACCACUAUGACCACUCAAAAGGGUUUUACAAUGUGAUUAUAAAAGAGGCGACCACCUUAAAAGUUAAGAUUUAAAAGAAAGGUAUUUUACUUAAGCUUGCAUAAUAUUUUCAAAAGAGACCUCUCUUAUGAUAUUUGAAUCAUUGUGGUAGUCAAAUAACAUGAUUUUAAAUAAAAAGAGCUAAGACGUGAUAUGAUAUGGCUUAUACGGCUUGCAAAUCUUGGUAUGACGAUACCAAAACAGACAAAUUCCAUGACAUACUUGGACUAGACCAAACUUUUCGGACAUCAUACCAGAUUUUUAGAAAGUAUGCAGAUUUUAAGAGGAUAAAAUAUGGGCUUAAAGAGAAUUAGGUGGAUAACCGAGAAGGCACAAGUUUAGAUAACUCAUAGCCCAAUCGUAUUUAGCCGACAUGGGGUUGAUUUGGUCCUGAAAUAUGGAUUAUCAUUAUAUACUUUCUAUAUGUAGUUGUAAACAUGACCAGACGCUCCAAUCAUUAUGAAAAAAUUGGAUUGGGGGUUGACAAAUGAGUUAAUGUUGAACCCUGCAUAGCCCGUGGGGUUUUUCAAACCAUGUUGGUGAAUGCCACCUAGAUCAAAAUUAAAGAAUAUCAUGAUGUUGUCAUUUUUUGUUUGAAUUACAUCUUUUCAUACUGAUUUGAUGUCGUAUAACCACAUGCUAUAACUUUGAUGAUAUUUUCACUACUAUGAUGUUUGAAAGUUAUUUUCUUUGGUAUUUAUAUGUACUAAUACAUUUCAAGUAUUGACCAUCCUCGGGCGGCUACAUUGUCUCAUAAUGUAGGUUCUAAGGCACAGUCCUGUGGUCCAGUUUAUCAUCAGUAGACCCCUAUAAGAAAUUCAGAGUUGCCUUACUCUGAAAGACAAUUAUCUAUAUAUUGAUUUCUUCUAAUAUCAUGGUCUGGUUGAGGGUUUUGUCACAGUAUAGACAGAUGAGUAAUCAGUAGAGGCAUCGUAGACUGAAUUUAGGUUUUCAUAAAUUGAUGUCAUGAUGUACUAAAUUUUCUUAAGAGACUUCUCAUGUUCCAGAUUAUCUUCGGCAUUUAUUUUUGGUUAUGAAUAAUGCCUAUAAUAAUAUUCUAAAGGAUCUUUUGACCCUUUCUAGUUUCGCGGCCAGGGCCCUGGCUUGAGUCAUGAUAAGUUUGGUAUCACACCAUGGUUCAGGGUCCAAAGGUAUCUACAAAACUGUGUUGAGUAGAGUCUUUUUUAUUGGUUUAUAGCACAUCACACUUAUUAGGCGGAAGCUACGAGGCAUUUAGGAAUACUUUAUAUUUUUUUCAUGUUCUAGUUCAUGCUAUAUGGUAUGAAUAUUUCCUAACAGAUUACUUUUCGCGUUUCAGUCUAUGCCUCACUAAAGAUCUAAUAGUCAGAACCCCUCAGCUAGACACUCUGUUCCUAUUAGGACAAAUACUAAAGAUGUUUGUCCUACUCAUGGGAUGUGGACCCAUUAUAGAGCCCAUACUCUAUACACCAGUCCAAACUAGCCCUCAUCAAGUUCAUUAGUCUAGUAUCUACCAUACCUAGUCUCUACAAAGAGAGGUCACAAAUGCUGAGUUCCACAGUUCAUCCAUAUGCUUGCUCAACUUAUUGCUUCAUAGUCUCAUUAGUUUGGAAAUGUAAGUACUAUUACUGGUUCUUCUGAGAUUACUCGGGUGGAUUGGUUCAUGAUGUUGAGCCCAUCUAUCUUUAUAGGAGCUAGGGUUGAGGGUGAUUCUCAAUAGUUUGUUGAUGAAAUAAGGAAAAUAUUUAAAAUCAUACAUAUUAACAAUACUGAGGGGGUAGAGUUUGUAGCUUAUUAGUUGAAAGAAAUGGCUUACUAGUGGUAUGAUGAGUGGGAGGAGUUAAGGGGUAAGACUGCUGAACUUGUAAUAUGGGAAUAUUUUUCGGGUGUUUUUUUAGAUCAUUUCUUUCCUUAGGUGAUGAAAGAAUCUAAGGCUAAGGAAUUUAUUAAUAUAAAUAAGGGAAGAUUAGAGUCAAAUAAUAUACAUUAAAGUUAACUUAGCUAUCCUAUUAUGCUUCAAAGUUAGUGUGCAAUAUGAGAGUUCGUAUGAGAAAGUUCAUAGUCGAUAUUUUGAAUGAUUUGGUGUUAGAAUAUAAAGGGGUGAUGCUGAAUAGUGACAUGGACAUCUCUAGGUUAGUUGUGUAUAUGCAACAAGUAGAAGAGGGGAAAAAGAGGCAAGCAAAGGUAGAGGAAAGAUGGGUUAAGAGAUCUAAGUCUACAGAUUAUGAUCUCAGUUAGCAGUAGGGUAGAAAAUGAGGCAAGAAAUAGACUAAGAAGAAGUUUUGGGGUAAUGCAUAGAGCUCAGCUAGUUCACCUACACCCAAACAAAUGGGCGACUAGUGUUUCCAGUCAUAUGGUAGAAAAAGGGUGAAAAGCCCUCCGUCUCAGGGAAGUGUAGUUCAAUCAACUAAAUUACACCCUCACUGCAACACCUGCGAGAAAUUUCAUCCAGGGAAGUAUCAGUAUGGGACUCUUGUGUGCUAUAGUUAUGGUCUGGCUAGUCAUUUUAAGAGAGAUUGUCUUUAUGACAAUAGAACUUAUGAGUCCAGUAAGGCCUAAGCUACUAAAUCAGCCGCUCCAGCUAAGGGUAUCAUAUCUAGUACAGGAAGGAGUUGUAACUAUUUGUAUACCCUAUCUACACGCCAGAAGUCAGAGUCUUCACCAGAUGUUAUUACGGUUAUGUUACAAAUCUUCUCUAGUAAUGUCUAUGUGUUUCUUGAUCUCGGGUCUACUUUUUCUUAGGUGACUCUUUACAUGGUAGUGAGUUUUGGUUUUAAGCUCGAAAAUAUUUUUGAACCCUUCUCUAUCUCUACCAUGUUGGUGACUUAAUUUUUGCUAUAAAAACUGUGUAGUGUCAUAUUUUUAUCGAGAUAUUAUAGUAGACCUUGUAGAGCUUGAUGGUGAAUUUUAAUGCUAUUCUGGGAUGGAUUGACUCCAUUAAUGUUAUGCUACAUUAGAUUGUACAUCAUAUAGGUCUCCUUCUAUUUCUCUAAUGAGCUAGUUAUAAAAUGGAAAGGGUAUUCUUUUGCUCCUAAAAGGAAGUUCAUAUAUUAUCUUAGGGCACGUAAGGUUAUAUCUAAAGGUUGUUUGUAUCAUCUUGUCUAGGUCAAAAAUUCUACCAUCGAAAAUCAUUCCCUACAGUCAGUUCCAGUGGAUAAUGAGUUCCUAAAAGUUUUUAUUGAUGAACUUCUAGGAAACCCCCAGAUAAGGAAAUAGACUUUGGUAUUGACUUUUUGCCAGACACUCAACGUAUUUCCAUUCCGCCGCAUAGGAUGAAUCCGACAUAAUUGAAAAAAAUCUAAGGAUCAAUUAAAAGACCUUCUUGAUAAUGGCUUUAUUCGUUCUAGUGUCUCCCCCUAGGGUGCUCCUAUACUCUUCGUCCGUAAGAAAGACGUUUCCCUUCGUAUGUGUAUAGAUCAUCGUUAGUGGAAUAAAGUGACAGUUAAGAAUAAAUACCAUCUUCCCUGAAUUGAUAAUCUUUUUGACUAGCUUCAGGGUGCUAGAUAUUUCUCUAAGAUUUACCUUCAUUCAGGUUAUCAUCAAUUGAAAGUUAGGGAGGCUGACACUUCUAAGACAGCUUUCCAAACCUGAUAUGGCCACUAUGAAUUCCUGGUCAUGUCCUUUGGACUAACUAAUUCUCUUACAAUAUUUAUGGACCUCAUGAAUAGGGUGUUUCAAUAGUUUUUCGAUCUAUCCAUCAUACUUUUCAUUAAUGAUAUUUUGGUUUACACUAAGAGUGAGGAAGACCAUGCCGAUCAUCUUCUUAUAGUUCUUCGGAUUCUUAAAAACCAUGAGUUGUAUGCCAAAUUCUCAAAGUGUGAGUUUUGGCUCAGUACAAUAGCUUUUCUAGGGCAUAUUAUUUCUUGUGAAUGGAUUAAGGUUGAUCCCCAAAAGGUUAAAGUAGUAAGCAAAUGGACCAGACCCACAACCAAUAUUAGGAGUUUCUUAGGUUUGGAAGGAUAUUAUAGAAGGUUUGUAGAGAGUAUUUCAUCUAUAGCUGCUCCACUUACCAUGUUGGCUUGAAGAAGGUCUAGUUUUAGUGAUCUGAAGCUUGUGAGAUUGAAAGACAAUCUGACUACUGUGUCAGUUUUGACCCUUCCUGAGGGUUCAAAGGGUUUUGUUUUGUAUUGUAUUGCAUCUCGGGCGGUACUUGGUUGUGUACUUAUGAAUCAUGGUAAGGCGGUGGCCUAUGUAUCCAGGCAAUUGGAAGUUCAUGAGAAAAACUAUCCCAUCCAUGAUCAAGAGUUGGAGGCUAUGAUUUUUGCACCCAAUAUUUGGUGCCAUUAUCUUUAUAGGGUGCAAGUUCACAUCUUCACUAAUCGUAAGAGCUUACAGUAUGUGUGCACCCAGAAGGAGUUGAAUAUCUAGAAGAGGCGGUGGCUCGAACUGUUGCAGGAUUAUGAUAUGAGCCUACACUAUCAUCCAGGUAAAGAUUAUAUGGUUGCUGAUGCUCUUAGCAGGUUAUCCAUGGGCAGUCUUUAUCAUGUUAUAAUGCCCCAAGUCUGUACCCUGGACGCUACAUGGAGCUUACGACCCCGAAGGACUACAAGCUAACCUAUGAUUGAUAUCUGCUGUAAGCACUGAAACAUAAUACUAUAAUAAAUGUAGAAUAAUAGACUAAAAUGCCAUAAGGUUCAAAAUAUUUGAAAUACUGAUAAAUUAUAUCAUCUAAAAUAAUAAUCUGUAAAGCUGAACACUAUUUGAAAAUUAGUCUGAAAAGCCUCUAACUGAAACUGUCUGAAAGUGGAGUUGAUGGGAAAUACCCCAGCUAACUCCACCUACAGAAAUACUUAUUCUAAUAAAAUAAUGAAAUAAAAGAAUAUCCUCGAAUGAUGAGGACUCACUACUAAUCUACUGCUGCUGGCUAAAUCUGAGUCUAUUUAUGCGCGGUUGGGAACCUGAGCAUCCGAACCUAUGAUAUGAGACAUCAUAGCACAAAGAAAGAGUCUGUUUCAGUAGAUGGAAUAUACUGGUAUGCUAGAUGAGGUAAGACUGAAUGCAAGAGUUCAUAUGCAUAAAUAAUAACUGACUGUAUGAUAUAGAGUAACUGAACAUAAGAGUACAUGGAUAAUUGAUACUGCUGUAAAACUGAGUGUGCACUACUGUGCAUAUAAAUAAACACUAUGACUAAGAUUAUCUGAAGGUAAGUCCUGAGUUUUAAUACUGAGUAACUGAUAUCUAAAGUUACUGAUAACUGUGUUACAGAUACUGAUUGACUGUAUCUGACAGUCUUGAUUUUGUAGAACUAAAUUGAGUUCUAUUCUGAAGACUGAGAUUGAGACCGCGGGAGGUGAUCAUCUAACCGACAUACCCCAAAUAAGAUAACUGAGUUGGGGUUCAACCUGUGACCCCAAUUGAAAGGGUGUUAGUACCGUGGCACAGGUAAAGACACUGAAGAGUUACCCUCAUCUGGUAUAUACUCUAAUGAGAAUAGUGGAACCCUCAUCUAGCAGGUUAAAACACCUCAUCAACCCUCAAUCGGCAGGUUUGAUAUCUCAACCUACGUUGGCUACAUAGUUCUAGAAUGUAAGAAUUUCUUCUAGAGAUUACACCCUCUACUGGCAAGUGAGCCCCCAUCCUUGGGUUCAAGUGAGCCCCCAUCCUUGGGUUCACUCGGUGUUGAAUCCUAAUCCCAACUGAAAGAUACUAAACUGAGUAUACUAAACUGGACUGGAUUAAUACUGAGUUUACUGAGUUUUCCUAAGUUUGGUAACUGACUGAGUUCUACUGAGUUCUGUAAUUGACUGAGAGUACUACUUUCAUGACAUGACUGAGAUUUUGUAACUGAUACUGGCUUAGGCACACAACUAAAUUAUCAGGUAUUAAAUACCUCCAGGACUCGAUAGUAUAAAAAAAGGCAUAACAUAAUCUUGAAAUACAUAAAACUUUACACUUGUCCAUAAUUCAUUCAUAAAGACAUUUUAUCAAACACCUGUAACGCAUUAACUUGUACAUGAAUGAGGAAUACAUGCUAUUAUGUUAUAAUGGAAUUAUUUCUUUCACAUAGGCAUUUUAUCAAACACAUGGGGAGGCAUAACUGAAUUAUUAAAUCAUAAACACUUAGGGUUGACAUGGUUUCAACAAUCAACUUACAAAUUGAAGGGUUUAUCAUGAAGAUCAUGUAAUGCAACACAUACAAUGAUUAAUUUCAUAAAAGCAUGUAAUUUAAUCAUGGACUAAAACCCAACAAUAACAUGAACAUGAAUUUAAUUCAAUUCAAGCAUGGAAGUUCAUAAUUCAACAAUCUUGUAUUUUGAAAACGGAUUUGUGGACUAUAUGGGUGAAAGGAACCCAUAGAUGAACACCUAACUUACCUUAAUUUGUGAGUUUCUUAAAGUUCUUGGUGAAUCCCUUGAGAUUGCUAUUGUUUUCUUGAAGCUAGGGUUUGUAGUUUUAAGAGAAAAUGCUUUCAAUUUGGGGAUAAAUUGAGUGAGUAAUUACUUAAAACAUUUUUAGGGAUUAAAUCCCGUAUCUGCGCAUGCUACAAUCAUGGGAAAAGAUUGUUUUAACCCUAGACAAAAAUUUAAUUUUUGUCAAAAUUUUUCGAAAUAGGCACCUGGCGCGAUGUGGAGCUAUCGCACCGUGUCUCUGAAAAUUUCCAACUGGGAAAAUGCAUGGUGGCACGAUGUGGUGGUAUUGCGUUGCCACUUUGGUUGGGACCUGAAAAUUCACCGCGAUGCGGUGGAGUCACAUUGGUACAUUGGAAAUGGACAAUUAUGAAAAUAAUUUAUGGUGCGACGCGCCAGUAUCAUGGUAUUUCAUUGGAAACUGACAAUUGCUAUUUUUACAUACUCCGCGAUGCGCUACUGGCCUGAAUGACGGUGUUUAAUGACUGAAACUUAAAACAGCCAUAACUUGUUACCCGAUUAUCAAAUUUAGGAAAAUUUUAUAUCGUUGGAAAGCUAAUUCAAUUUACUACGUAAUGGAAGGCUCUAAACUGAAAAAUACUAAGCAUUUUAAAAAAUUUAUAUUGGAUAUCUUAUGAACUGAGAGUUAAGUUAAAAUUGAGAAAUAUGGAGUAUUACACAUGUCGAGGAACAAAAGUGGAAUUUUGCCAAAGAUAUUCAUCAGCUUUCUAAUUUGGGAGUCUUACUCCUAGACUCUAAGGAUAGAGUGUUGUUUAUUCAAGAGGUAGCUAAAUCAUCCCUAUCUGGCGAAGGUAAGGAAAAGCAGGCUAGAGAUCCUAUAUUGAUGCAGAUUAAUGAAUAUGUUGGUCAACAAAAGGUUAUGGCAUUUUAAAUUAGAGGAGAUAGUAUUUUGAGAUACUAAGAUAGGUUUUGUGUGCCGAAUAUGGAUGGGUUACGAGAAAGGAUUAUUGAUGAAGCUCAUACUUAUAGGUAUAAUGUUCCCCCUGGCUCCACUAAAAUGUACCAUGACCUAAAGGAAAUUUACUGGUGAAAAAAUAUAAAAAAGAUGUUGCUAACUUUGUGGCUAAGUGUUUGAAUUGAUAAGAAGUUAAGGUCAAACACUUGAAGCCAGGUGGUACCUUUCAAGACAUAGCUUUGCCAUUAUGGAAAUAGGAGAUAAUCAACAUGGACUUCGUUACUAGUAUUCUGUGAUCCUAAAACUAGAAUGACUUAUUUUAGGUUAUUGGUGAUAGGUUGACCAAAUUUGCUCACUCUUUGCUGGUGAGAACUAUUUAUUUGGGAGAUGAUUAUGCGAUAUUGUACAUUCAAUAAAUAGGUCAAUUACAUUAGGAUUCAGUAUCCAUUAUAUCCGACUUAGUUAUGUAGUUUUUUUCAGAAAGGUUUGGGUAUCCAAGUAAGUCUUAGCACCGCUUUUUAUCCUCAGAUAGAUGGGCAAGUGGAGCAUACCAUUAAUACCUUAGAGGAUAAGAUAUGGGAUUGCAUGAUUAAUUUUAAAGGUAGUUGGGUAGACCACUUGCCUCUAAUAGAAUUCGCCUACAAUAAUAGUUAUCAUUCUAGCAUCCAAAUAGAUCUUUUUGACACUCUCUAUGAAAGUAGGUGUAGAUCACCAAUUGGUUUCUAUAAGGUGGGUGAAACUCAUUUUUUUAGACCUUAUAAUGUUCAUCAAGUGAUCCAAAAGUUAAAAGUCAUUAGAGAGCAACUUAAGAGCCCAAAGUCACCAAAAGUGCUAUUUCAAUCUAAGAAGAAGGGAGUUAGAACUUUAGGUGGAUGAUUGGGUAUUUCUUAAAGUCUCUCCUAUGAAGGGAGUUAUGAGAUUUGGGAGGAAAGGAAAACUAAGUCCUAGUUCCAUAGGUCCUUAUCAGAUUACGAGAAGGAUUGGUGGAGUGGCGUAUGAGUUAAUUUUUCCUGUUAGUUUAUCUUUAUUUCAUCCCUUAUUUCAUGUGUCAAUUCUUAAGAAAUGUAUUAGAGAUCAUUCACUUCUACUUCCAUUUGAAGGGAUUGGUGUGAGGGAUUCUUUGCCAUACGAAGAAGCACCCAUAGCGAUAUUAGAUUGCCAAGAUUAAAAAUUAAGGAGUAAGGAGAUAGUUUCGGUUAUAGUGUUAUAGAGAAAUCAAAAGAUAGAGGAAGCUACAUAGGAAUAAAAGAAUGAUAUACGUUCAAGGUACCAUCACUUUUUGAAUCUUCGAACGAUGUCAUGGAAGGUAUAAAUCUUAUCUUACUCAUUGUAUUCCAUGUAACUCUUUAAAUCGUGCUUAAGAUGUUCCAAGACAUUGUUCGGGGAUGAAUGAUCCCUAACCCAACCUUUUCGAUGCUAAAUAAGUGAUGCAAUCAGUCCUUAAGACCCCGAUAUAGAAGAUAGACCACCUAAGGUUGGUUUUGAAUGGGUAGGAGGCGUUUAUAGUCUUAGAAUAGAUCUUUGUAUCUUGAAAUAGGCACCCUGCGAUAGCCCUAUGCCGCGAAGACCUCUAUUAUAGAUGUUAUGCCAUGAACCCUACGGUUCGCAAUAAGGGUCGCCCUGUGAACCUUCAGGUUUGCGAUGAGGGUUGCCCCAUGAACCAUUAGGUUUGUAAUGGGUGUGAUGCCAUGAAACCCCAUUAUUUUUCAUCGAUAGUCCUUUAUUUUCAUAUAUUUUAAGGGCAUGAGGGUCUUUUAAAACCCAUAAGUCAUUCCCAAUCCCUUAUGUACGUGUAUAGGGUCUAAAAAAUUACUUCACAUAUUAGGAAACCCUCUAUUUAUCAUUCAAACAACAAAGGAGGAGAAAUCAACUUAGGGUUUGAGAAUUCCAAGCUCCAAGGGUAAACUUUGGUUAAAUUCUCUCUAUUAGAGGUAUGUAGAAUGACCUAAAUCUCAUGGGGUUUGAUUAUAAUUUCUACUCUAUUUUAAGUGUUGAAACUUUGAGGUUUUUAUUCAUAAUAAGAGCAUAAAUUUCAAAAUUUGCAUCCAUCCUUAAUUGUGCAUUCUUACAGGUAUAAGUAUAUAUAUAUAUANNNNNNNNNNNNNNNNNNNNNNNNNNNNNNNNNNNNNNNNNNNNNNNNNNNNNNNNNNNNNNNNNNNNAAAUUUAUAUAUAUCCUCUAAUGUGUAUUCUUACAGAUAUAUAUAUAUAUAUAUAUAUAUAUAUAUAUAUAUAUAUAUAUAUAUUUAUGCAUAUUAAAUUGUGAUUUUUGAAAAGUAUAAGGUUGUAAAUGAUUUCCUUGACCAAUAUUGCAUGAGGAAGGUUUUAAUGAUUAUUAUAUAUUGUGAUGUUUAUCUUGUUUUGAUGUUGUUUAGUCGAAUAUGAUUGAAAAUAUAAAUCCUUUUUCCUAUAACCUUUAAAAGAAUUCAUUAAUGUGAGAUGCUUUUCCAAACCACCAUGGUCACUAUAAGGGUUUAGCAAUGUGAUUAUGAAAAAGGUGACCACCUUAAGAUUUAAGCUUUGAAAGAAAAGUAUUUCACUUAAGCUUGCAUAACAUUUUUGAAACCGAACUCUUUUAUGAUAUUUGAAUCAUGUGAUGGUCAAAUAACAUGCUUUUAAAUAAAAUGGGCUAAGAAAUGAUAUGCCAUGAUAUGAUACGGCUUAUAUGGCUUGUAAGUAUUGGUAUGACGAUAUCAAAUUGGACAAAUACCAUGACAGACUUAGAUUAUACUAGAAAAUAAACUUUUCAAACUUAAGACCAUGUUUUGAGAAAAUAUGCAUGUUUUAAGAGGCAAAAUUUGGAUUAAAGAGAGUUAUGUGGCUAAUCAAGAAGGCACGAGUUUAGAUAACUCAUAGCCCAAAAUUUUCUUUUGCCGAAAUGGGAUCGAUCUUGUCCUAAAAUUUGGAUGAUCAUUAUAUACUUGUUAUAGCAUCUGUAUACCAGACUAGACACUUCAAUUCAUGCAGAAAAUUUGGAUUGGGAGCUUGACCGACGAGUCAAUGUCAGACCCUGCAUAGCUCAUGGGGUUUUUCUGACCUUAUUGGGUAUCUCGCCUAGCUCAGAACUAAAGAAUAUCAUUAUAGUGUUUAUUAGAAAAUUUUGGGUUGAAUUACAUAUUUUCAGACUGAUUUGAUGUAAUAUAACCCUAUUAUAUGAUUUUGUUUGAUGUUUUCAUUAUUAUAAUGCUUGAAAGUUACUUUCUUUGGUCGUUCUAUGUACCAAUAUAUUCCAAGUAUUAGUCAUCCUCGGGAGGCUACAUUUUCUCAUAAUAUAGGUUCUGAGGCAGAAUCUCGUGGUCCAGUUCUACAGCAAUAGACCCCUAUCAGAAAUUUAGAGUUUUUGAGCCUCCCUUACUCUGGAAGUCGGUUAUCCAUAUGUUUAUUUCUUUUAACUUCAUGGUCCAACUAGGGGCGGUGUCCUAAUAUUGACAGAUAAGUAAUAAGUAGAGGCUUCAAGACUAGAUUUAGGUUUUUAUAGACUGAUGGCAUGGUAUACUAGAUUUGCUUAUGAGACUUUUCAGGUUUCAACUUAUCUUCCACAUUUCUUUUGAGGUGUGAAUAAUGCUUAUGAUAAUAUGCUAAGGGGUCUCUUGGGCCAUUAUGGUUCGGGAUGCCCGUCAUGGCCAGGGCCCUAGCUCGGAUUGUGACACUUUAUUCCCUGAGCUUCACCUAUUACUUCCUAUUUGCAUAGUCAUCAUGGUCUUGCUACAUCCUCCUUAGUCCCCUUUGGAUUUUGUGUUUCUUAAAAAAGUGAUACAAUAAGUUUGCAUUGAUCAGUUCUGCUUUGAUGUCUAAGUUUCUCUAUUUGAUGUUUUCAUGGAACAUUCUAAAGUUACUAACAAUAACAAACAUAGGCUAAGAUUCUGCAAUUUAUGUAUUUCAACAUUUUGUUCUUAACAUAACUUCUGAAUUCGGUGACAUCCUAAACAAAAAUGGUGAAUAAGCAUUCGAUCUAUGAGAUUAACAUAUCUAUAAAUAUCUGAUUAGUCUUUUGAAAAUAACAUUUUACUUUAACCUUCAUGAAGUUCACAUGAAUUCUGUAGUGUUAUUCAUGAUUCAUGCCCCAUAUUAUGGGAUACUUGAGUUGGUAACAAUCCUAUUGUAAAGGUAUGUUGAUUGCUUUCAUGAUUGUUUAAUGGCAAAUUUUUUUUUGAAUGAGAUAAUUCGAUAUACUUGUUUGAUCGAUGAAAUUCUGGCAAUCUUGGAGAUGUCCAAAGAUGAUUCCAUUAUAUAAAAUAAGGGAGGACAUCUAGAGUUGCUAGAACUAUAGGGGUGUCAAGUUGUCGAGUCAUACUAUAGAGGUUUAGGAAAGGGUGGUAGAGUUGAGGCUAGGAGGAUCAUGACUAUUUUUUAGAAUCAAUUCAAUUUCAAGAAUCAGUUUAGUUUUGUGAGGAUAAUAGUUGAUCAAUAUAGGGAAAGGAAGAAGGACGUGCACGCAGUGUUCAUCAAUCUUGAGAAGGCAUACAACAAAAUACCUAAGAGGUUCUAUGGAGGUGCUUGGAGGUUAGAGUGUUAGCUCCUACGUCUAUGUUUUAAUAAUGACAAAUUAACAAGUAUAUCUUUGCAGGAUAUAGAAAACUGUUGAUAUUAGAAGGAUAAAGGAAGCCGACUCCAAGAAUAGAAGGACAUCAAUUCCCGAUCCACGACAUCCAAGUAAAUCAAUCACAAACUCCAUGAAUGGAAGGACAUUAGGAAUGGAAGAACAUAUGGAAUGGAAUGACAUAAAUUCAUGACCAAUGGCAUCCAAGUAAAUCAAUCACAAUGAUAAAAAAAUGAAAGGAGAAUCUCAUCCCUAAAAGUCAUAGAAAAUCAAAUCAAUCACGAUAAAGUAAAAGAAGAAAAAGUUCAAAAACACAUUUAGAAAGGCAUCAAUCUCUACGAGACUAAAAAGAACAAUAGAUCAUGGACAUAUCUGAUAUGGAUGUGAGUAAGAGUCGUAUAUGGACAUCUCUGAUAUGGACAUAUCAGAGAGAUACAUUUCUUAAUCAAGGAAUCAAUUCAAAUCCUUGAUUGAGAAGAAAUAUCUUGGGUUUCCUUUUUAAGAGUAGUAGCCACAGACUAUAAAAGAGGAAUACUAAAUAUGGACGUGGGUUGUGCAACUUCAAGAAGAAAAACUCAAAGUGUAUCAAUCUUAGUCUCAUAAGGCUUUGUAAUCUUUAUCUUACAAUUGUUAUACAAAGAUUAGGAUCAAGUCCACUUUGUGAUAUAAACUGAAGCUGUCUCACAAGAUUCGAAGUGCUAAAUAAGUCUUCGAAACUUGUUUCUCAUCAUUGUACUUGAAGCCAAUAUUGAAAGAUCCAAGGAAAUGUUAAAAACCAAGGGGAUUAGAAGUAGGCAACACAUUGGUUUUCCAAACCAGGAUAAAUUCUCGUGUUCUUUACAGUAGAAUUUAGUUAUUUAUUUGCGUGUUUAUUUUAAAUCUAAUCUAUUUUGUGAAGCAUACUAAUCUGCAGGAAAGUCAACUAUGAGAAAUGAGUAGUUGACUCACAUACAAUUUUAAUUCAACCCCUCUUGAAUUUCAAUUGGUAUCAAAGCAGGUCUCACCAAUAGGAUUUCUUAAUCGGAAGUGAGCAAAGAUCAAAUGGAAAAUUAUCAAAUUCCCAGUGCUUUUCUCCAGAAUGGUCACUUCUCUACAAGACCACCAUACUUUAAUGGACAACAUUACUCUUAUUAGAAGAAUAGGUUUAGAAUCUUUGUCCUAUCAAAUGACUUUCAAUCCUGGGUUGUUAUCAAGAAGGAUCCAAAGCCGAUUCCAAAACUCAAGGAGAAGACAAAGGACAAAGAUAAAGAAUCUAGUAGUUCUUACGUAGAAGUCCAUGAAAGAUUUGAGGUAACCCAAGAACAAUAAGAGGUAAUUAAAACUAAUGUACGUGUUAUAAGUCUACUUCUUUGUGCAAUGAGUGGAGAAGAAUACGAUAAGAUAUCAACCUGCAUGACUGGAAAAGAGAUGUGGAAUUAAUUGGAGGUAACCCAUAAAGGGAUCACCAAAGUCAAAAAGUCAAAGAUUGCUUCCCUGGCCAAUGAAUAUGAGUUGUUCAAAAUGGAAGAAAAUGGGAACAUUAAAACAAUGUUUUCUAGAUUCAACAAGAUCGUAUGGGAACUAAACUCACUUGGGAUGAUCUAUCCAUACAGCCUGCAAGUCCAGAAGCUAGUCCAGAGUCUCCCAAAAUUUUUGGAAACCAAGGCUGCCAUUGUAGAAUAUAAAUAUCUUCACAAUAUAACAUAUAAUGAACUACGAGGUAACCUCAUUACAUAUGAAUACAAUUAUAUAAACAGGUACCACAAAGAAGAGAAGAAGAAACCAAUAUCCUUUAAUGCUGCUCCAACCAAAGAAGUGGACAUUCUGGAAGAUGCUAAUAGUGAAGGAAUGGCUCUUAUAAAUUAUGGAGUAAGGCAAAUCAUGAAACAGAGACAACAAAGAUCCCAAGGAGCCAAGAGUGAUGAUUCUAUCAGAAAUGAUGAUCAUUGAUAUUACUGUUGAAGGCCUUGUCACUUUAAACAAAACUAUCCUAAGUUAAGUAGAAGAUCAUCCAGAAAAAAUCAAAACUUUGGAGCCUGGAGUAAUGAAGAUAAAACCAAAGAACAAGUAGAAACCACUAAUAUGUGUUUCACGACAAUAAGUGAAUCUAGCAAGGUAAGAAUACAUGAUUGUCCUAAUGGAAAUAUUCUUAAAUCUAACUUAGAUUUGAUAACUAACGAGAUUCAAAAGGUUAUAGAUAAAUAUAACAAACUUGCUCAAAAGAAGAAAAGUUGUGAAGCCCUAUUUAAAAGAAAACUUGAGGAGGAAUAGAGAAGUCAUAAAAUAGAAAUCGAAGCAUGCCAAAUAAAAUUGAAUUGCUUCAUGAAGAGCUUGAUGAUGUAAUAAUAAAGAUAAACAGUAUUAAUAAAAUUCCUAGUCACAGUUUUGUGAGAUCCAACUCUUUUCAAAAUAAGUCAAGUUCUUCAUCAAAAUUAUUUAAAUCAGCUAAGAUCUUAUUUUCUUUUUGAGGACCUGUCUAUUUUAUAUGUGGAUAGAGAGGGCACAAAUCGUACAUCUAAAGGAAUAAGCCUAAAUGUGUAUGGGUUUUGAGGCCCAAAAGAAGCACAUCUAACCCGCAAGGACCCACGACCACUUGGGUACCUAAAAAAAUUAAUCUUUUUAUGUUCCACGAACAGGUCCGCAAGAGCUAUAAGAAAGGAAUAUGGGUCAUUGAUAGUGGAUGUUCCAUACGUAUAACUAAAAAGAAAGAAAAUUUUAAUACUCUAGAGAAAUUAGAUGGGGAAUCAGUAAGGUUCGAUGAUAAUGCUAGAGGCAAUGUCAUCGAAGUUGGCUCAGUAAAACUUGGUUCAUCAUGAAAAUUCAUGAAUUAUAUCUAGUAGACGACCUCAAAUAUAAUCUACUCAGCAUCAGUUAGCUCUGUGAUGCCGAAUUUGGAGUACUCUUCAAAGCUUAAAAUUGCUCAAUCAAACAUGACAAAAGAGACAUCUCUCUCAUCGGUAAAUAGUUUGGCAAUAUUUAUACUUUAAAUAUUCCUGGUUUUACUACCUUAACUUGCCUUACUAUGAAAGAUAGUGAUAUUUGGUUGUGGUACAGAAUGCUCGGGUAUGCUAGUGUGCAUAUCAUUAAGAAGUUGUCCAGACUCAAAUUGGUAAAAGGUUUGCCAAAACUCAAGUUUAAAAAGGAUCACACAUGUGAUGACUGUCAGUUGGGUAUGCAGACUCGGACAUCAUUCAAAGUCAAAGAGAUUGUCUCCACUACAAAACCUCUUCAAACAAUCUAUAUUGAUCUAUUUGGCCCCACCAAAAUUGCAAGCAUCGGUGGAAAGAGAUAUGUUUUUUCAUUGUUGAUGAUUAUUCAUGUUUUACUUGGGUAUUGUUCCUUGCUCAUAAACAUGAGGCUUUAACAAAUUUUGAGAUUUUUGUAGAAAGGUACAGAGAGAAGCCAAUAACUCAUCACUUACGUUCACAGUAAUCACAGAGGAGAAUUUGAAAAUAAAAGGCAUUUGAGGAGUAUUAUGCUCAGAAUGGAACUCUCGGAACAUAUCUUUACCUUGGUACCCUUAGCAAAAUUUUGUAGUAGAGCGGAAGAAUCGGUCAGUCUAGGAAACUUCUAGGACAAUGUUGUUAGAACAUAAUCUCCCAGAUUAUUUUUGGGCAGAAGCAGUAAGCAUCACAUAUUACGUCAUCAAUAGGUGUCUGAUCUGACCUAUCCUAAAGAAAAUGCCUUAUGAACUCUGGAGAGAAAAGAAGCCCAACAUCAGUAAUUUCCAUCCUUUUGGCUCCAAAUAUUUUAUUCACAACAAUGGUAAGAAUAGCUUGGGAAAAUUUUAUCCACAAAGUGACAAAGGUAUUUUUCUUGGGUACUCUCCGACCAGUCGUGCCUAUAUGGCCUUUAAUAAAAGAACUUUGUGUGUUGAGGAAUCUAUGCAUAUUGUAUUUGAUGAAUAUAAUUACUUCUAUAUGAGUUUGAGUGCUGAUGAAGAAUAUGUGGGUAUUCUGUGAUCCAAAUAAAGUAACAGCACAAUGUCUGAGCCAUCACAAGACAAGUGACUUUACCCUCCCAUGAGUUGACUACUAAAAUAGAAAUAGUAAAGCCAAGUGUUCCAAAAGAAUGAAAGAAUGAUUCUAGUCAUCCAAACAAAGUCAUCAUCGAAAAUCCAGAGGAUAGAGUGCAAACAAGAGCAUCAUUGAGGAGACAAGCAGUUGUAGCCCUUGUUUCUCAAACGGAACCCAAGAAAAUUGAUGAGGCCCUCAAAGAUAAAUCAUGAGUUCCAAAUGGGUCUAUAGAAAUAACUUAAAUGAAGAAGGUAAAUUUAUCAGAAAUAAAGACAGACUUGUAGAUCAAGGCUACUACCAGCAGAAAGGUAUUGAUUAUGAUGAGACCUUUGGCCCGGUGGCAAGGUUAGAUUCAAUACAAAUUUUAUUAGUUUUUGCAGCGUUCAAAUAUUUUAAGUUAUGUCAAACGGACAUAAAAAAUGCUUUGUUAAAUGGGUUUAUUCAUGAGGAAGUUUUUGUAAAACAACCUCCCAGAUAUGAAGAUCCAUCAUAUCCAAAUUAGGUUUUCAAAUUUUCAAGAGCACUCUAUGGCCUCAAACAAUCUCCAAGAUCUUGGUAUGAGAGAUUGAGUACAUUUUUACUAUAUAACAAUUUUCAAAGGGGUAGAAUUGUUACAAAUCUAUUCAUAUAAAAUCUUGGUUAUUCCUGCUCCUCAUAUUUUAAUUUAAUUGGUUAUUCAGAUGCCGAUUUUGCAGGAGAUAAAAAUAAUAGAAAGAGCAUUAGUGGAACAUGUCAAAUUCUUGGUGAUGCCCUUAUCUCAUGGCAUAGCAAGAAGAAAAAUUUCAUUGCUCUUUCAACCACUAAAAAUGAAUACAUAGUUGUCGGAAGUUGUGGUACUCAAAUCUUAUGGAUUAUGCAUCAGCUUCUUGACUUUGACUUAUCUUUUGAAUUUGUUCCUAUUAUGUGUGAUAACACCAGUGCUAUUAGCUUAUCUAAGUAUAUUGUGAAUCAUUCUAGGAAUAAACAUAUUGAUAUUAAGUAUCAUUUUAUUCGAUAUCAUGUAGAGAAUGGUGAUUUUACUCUAAAAUUUAUUGACUUCGAAAAUCAACUAGCAGAUAUUUUUAACAAAAACUCUGCUACAAGAAAGAUUUUGUUUCCUUAGAAAAAGGCUUGGUAUUCUUAACAUUAAUGAUUUGUAAGCCUUAUUUUGGACUGUAUUUUGCCAUGAUUUUUAUUAAAUAAAAAAAUUAUGCAUUUUUUCUAGUACACCUCUUCUGAAAAAGAAGUCAACAUUACCCCCGUUACAUACUUCCUGGCCAUAUAGGUUGUAAAACGAUUUCACUUUUUUCUACUCCUUGAUGUAUUUUUAUGUGUGGUCUUUUUUGUUUAUAUGUUUCUUGUGUGUUGUUUCUUUUUAUUAUGUCAAAGGGAGAGAAAGAAGGAACAUCAUAGUCGUCUACAAGUCAGGGGGAGCAGAGCAAGUCAACUGAUGUUACAUGAAAGUCAACUAAUACUUGUACAAGUCAGGGGAAGCAAGCUGGCCGAUAAGGGAGUUAUUGGCCGAUAAGGGAGUUAACUGAUGUUUACUCUUGUUUCCAAUAUUUACUCUUGUUUGUCAUUAUCAAAAAUAAGGAGAUUAUUAGACUCCUAAGUCUAUGUUUUAAUAAUGACAAACUAAAAAUUGCAUUUUUAUAGGAUAUUUAAGACUGCUGAUAUUGGAAAGAUAAAGGAAGCCAGCUCCAGGAAUGGAAGGAAAUCAAUUCACGAUCAAUGACAUCCAAGUAAAUCAAUCACAGGCUUCAGGAAGUGAAGGACAUCGGCAAUGGAAGGACAUCAAUUCACGAUCCAUGACAUCCAAGUAAAUCAAUCACAAUGAGAACAAAUGGAAGAAGUAUCUCAGCCCGAAAAGUCAUAGAAAAUCAAAUCAAUCAUGAUCAAGUAAAAGAAGAAAAAUGUCACAAACACAUUUGGAAAGGUAUAAAUCUAUACGAGACCAACAUGAAUAAUAGAUCAUAGACAUAUCUGAUAUGGACAUAUGUAAAAGCGGUAUAUAGACAUAUUUGAUAUGGACCUAUCAUACGUCUACAUUCCUCAAUCAAGGAAUCUAUUCAAAUCUUUGAUUGAGAAGAAAUAUCUUUGUUUUUCUUCUGAAGAGUAGUAGCCGAAGACUAUAAAAGAGGAAGAAUAAAGAUGGACACGGGUUGUGCAACUUCAAGAGAAAAACUCAAAGUGUCUCACUCUUAGUCUCAUAAGGCCUUGUAAUCUUUAGCUUACAAUUAUUAUAUAAAGAAUAGGAUCAAGUCCAUUUUGUGAUAUAAACUGAAGCUAUGUCACAUGACCUGAAGAGUAAAAUAAGUCUUCAAAACUUAUUUCUCAUCAUUGUACUCGAAGCCAAUAUUGGAGAUCUAAGGAAAUAUUGAAAUCCAAGGG